GAUGCAGUGACAGAUCUAAAAUGGACAUUCCCAUUGCCUACGGAUGUGUUUCAGAAAAAGGUCUUAACCCUGCUGUUUGACCUGCGCGAUCAGUACAAAAAAGCAGAACCUGCCUCUUCAGCCGUGCACAUUUUGAGGAUGGAGACUAUGGUGGAUUUUGAGGCAGAGGAGCAACGCCUCUGUGAUGCGCAAGCUUUUGAUACCCUGGUGCUGCAAAUUGCACGUAUUGGAGGGAAGAACAC